rnacentral:rRNA from 1 species
UAACAGGAUUCCCCUAGUAACUGCGAGUGAAGCGGGAAAAGCUCAAAUUUUGAAUCUGACGGGGCCGUCCGAGUUGUAAUCUAGAGAAGCGUGUUCCGCGCUGGCCCGUGUACAAGUCUCCUGGAAGGGAGCGUCAUAGAGGGUGAGAAUCCCGUCUCUGACACGGACUGUGAUGCGCUCUCGACGAGUCGAGUUGUUUGGGAAUGCAGCUCAAAAUGGGUGGUAAACUCCAUCUAAAGCUAAAUACUGGCGAGAGACCGAUAGCGAACAAGUACCGUGAGGGAAAGAUGAAAAGAACUUUGGAAAGAGAGUUAAACAGUACGUGAAAUUGCUGAAAGGGAAACGCUCGACGUCAGUCGCGUCGGCCAGGGAUCAACCUCGCGCUGGGUGCACUUCCUGGUCGACGGGUCAGCGUCAGUUU